GACGAACGCUGGCGGCGUGCUUAACACAUGCAAGUCGAACGAAGUGGCGAACGGGUGAGUAACGCGUAAUCACCCUGCCCAUCAGAGGGGGACAACAGUUGGCAACGACUGCUCAUACCGCAUAAAGUAGGUGGGGCGUGCGUAGGAUUAGCUGGUUGGAGGGGUAACGGCACACCAAGGCGAUGAUCAGUAGCCGUGCUGAGAGGAGUAACGGCCACAUUGGGACUUGGGCACGGGCCAGACUACGAAGGGAGGCAGCAGGGGGGAAUCUUCCGCAAUGGACGGAAGUCUGACGGAGCAACGCCGCGUGAGUGAUGACGGCCUUCGGGUUGGAAAGCUCUGUUAAUCGGGACGCGGUACCGGAAUAGAAAGCCACGGCUAACUACGUGCCAGCAGCCGCGGUAAUAC
rnacentral:rRNA from 1 species